AUGCGUAGGGUGCAAACGUUAUCCGGAAUUAUUGGGCGUAAAGAGAUGCGUAGGCGUCCUAGUAAGUCUUUUGUUAAAGACCACAGCCUAACUGUGGAAGAGCAUUGGAAACUGCUAGGAUUGAGACAGAGAGGGGUAAAGGGAAUUCCCGGUGGAGUGGUGAAAUACGUUGAUAUCGGGAGGAACACCAAAGGCGAAGGCACUUUACUGGCUCUGUUCUGACGCUAAGGCUCGAAAGCGUGGGUAGCAAAACGGAUUAGAUACCCGUGUAGUCCACGCCGUAAACGAUGGAUGCUAGCCGUUGGGCGCGACCGUGUUUUAUCUUCGGAUUUUAUGUGGGAGUGUUCAGUGGCGCAGUUAACACGAUAAGCAUCCCGCCUGGGUAGUACGGCCGCAAGGCUAAAACUCAAAUGAAUUGGCGGGCUCCCGCACAAGCGGAGGAGCGCGUGGUUUAAUUCGAUGGUAAUCGAAGAACCUUACCAGGGCUUGAAAUAUACCUGCAAGCUCUCUGAAAAGAGAGCCGCCUAAGAGGGUGGUAUACAGGUGCUGCAUGGCCGUCGUCAGCUCGUGUCGUGAGAUGUAGGGUUAAGUCCCGUAACGAGCGCAACCCCUUUCCCAUGUUACAAGUGUCUUGGGAGACUGCAGCGGUAAAACGUUGAGGAAGGUGGGGAUGACGUCUGGUCCUCAUGGCCCUUAUGUCCUGGGCGACACACGCGCUACAAUGGUAGGUACAACGGGAUGCCAAACCGCAAGGUGGAGCAAAUCCUAAAAAACCUAUCCCAGUCCGGAUUGAGGUCUGCAACUCGACCUCAUGAAGUUGGAUUCGCUAGUAAUCGCAGAUCAGCCAUGCUGCGGUGAAUACGUUCUCGGGGGUUGCACACACCGCCCGUCAAGCCAUGGAAGCAGGUAGUACCCGAAGGCGCUCUGAAUUUAUUCGGGGUGACGAAGGUAAUGCUUGUAACUGGGGUU
rnacentral:rRNA from 1 species